CACAAACCUUGAUCCAGCAGUAUUAGGCUUUGUUGGCAGCGACCCUUUGAUUUACAGCAGCAAUUAAUCUUUGCUAGCAGUAGAGUUUUGUUUUCCGGCAGCAGCUUGGUCUAGCAGCGGUUGAUUUGAGGACUUUGACGCGAGACGAGUAUCUCGGAGUCAGAUCGGACCUUUCUAUUUUCGGAGG